rnacentral:misc_RNA from 1 species
GAAAUCAUCAACCAAUCAACAUGAAGUGCAUCGCCAUCGUCUCCACCAUCUGCCUGCUGGCCGCUUUCGUUGCCGCCGAUAAGGAGGAUAAGAUGCUCGGCUCCUCCUACGGUGGUGGCUACGGCAAGCCCGCCGCUGCUCCGGCUCCAUCCUACUCCGCUCCGGCUGCCGCUUCCCCAGGCCUACGCGCCCCAGCUGCUCCAUCCUACGCCGCCGCUCCGGUCUCGAUCCCGGCUCCUCCUUGCCCCAAGAACUACCUGUUCAGCUGCCAGCCCAACCUGGCCCCAGUGCCAUGCAGCGCCCC